rnacentral:rRNA from 1 species
GAUUAACGCUAGCGGCAGGCAUAAUACAUGCAAGUUGAACGAGAUUAGUUUAGCAAUAGACUAUGAAAGUGGCGCACGGGUGCGUAACACGUAUGCAACCUGCCCUUGACUGGAGAAUAGCCUCUCGAAAGAGAGAUUAAUGUUCCAUAACAUAUAGAUUAAGCAUUUAAUUUAUAUCAAAGCUCCGGCGGUCAAGGAUGGGCAUGCGGUUGAUUAGCUAGUUGGUGAGGUAACGGCUCACCAAGGCGACGAUCAAUAGGGGGUCUGAGAGGAUGUCCCCCCACACUGGUACUGAGACACGGACCAGACUCCUACGGGAGGCAGCAGUAGGGAAUAUUGGUCAAUGGAGGCAACUCUGAACCAGCCAUGCCGCGUGCAGGAUGAAGGCCCCUCGGGUUGUAAACUGCUUUUGUACAGAACGAAAAGGUUUCUAUUAAUACUAGGAGCUCAUGACGGUACUGUAAGAAUAAGCACCGGCUAACUACG